GUGCAGUUUUGGGCACCACAGUAUAGGAAAGACAUUAAGCUCUUAGAGGUCAUGCAAAGGAGGGCAAUGAAGAUGGUGAAGGGCCUGGAGGGGAAGCUGUAUGAGGAGCAGUUGUUUAGCCUGGAG